UCGCGAAUCAUUCACAAUGGACGCAAGUCUGAUGAUGCCACGCCGCGUGCGGGAUGAAGGCCCUUUGGGUUGUAAACCGCUGUCAAGGGAGGGGAAACACCUAGCGUUAACAGCGCUAGGCUUGACUGCUCCCUAAAGGAAGCCCCGGCAAAACAUGUGCCAGCAGCCGCGGUAAUACAUGUGGGGCAAGCGUUAAUCGGAAUUACUGGGCGUAAAGCGUGCGCAGGCGGUUAUGCAAGACAGAUGUGAAAUCCCCGGGCUCAACCUGGGAACUGCAUUUGUGACUGUAUAGCUAGAGUACGGUAGAGGGGGAUGGAAUUCCGCGUGUAGCAGUGAAAUGCGUAGAUAUGCGGAGGAACACCGAUGGCGAAGGCAAUCCCCUGGACCUGUACUGACGCUCAUGCACGAAAGCGUGGGGAGCAAACAGGAUUAGAUACCCCGGUAGUCCCUGAGCGGGCUGGCAAGGCGCAU
rnacentral:rRNA from 1 species